AGGACGAACGCUGGCGGCGUGCUUAACACAUGCAAGUCGAGCGGUAAGGCCUCCUUCGGGGGGUACACGAGCGGCGAACGGGUGAGUAACACGUGAGUAACCUGCCCCAGACUUUGGGAUAACCCUCGGAAACGGGGGCUAAUACCGGAUAUUACUUCGCAUCGCAUGGUGCUUGGUGGAAAGUUUUUCGGUUGGGAUGGACUCGCGGCCUAUCAGCUUGUUGGUGAGGUAAUGGCUCACCAAGGCGAGGACGGGUA
rnacentral:rRNA from 1 species